rnacentral:lncRNA from 1 species
AAAAUAUUUCUUAGGAUUUAGAGAAUUCCGUAAAAUUUUAAUAAAAAAAUUGAUAAAAUAAGUGAGGACAUUCUGAUUAUCAAGAGGCUAAGAUAUAAGAUACACCUACAUCUUAGAUAGGGAUGCAAACGGGGCGGAUCCAAAGGCGGGAGGGGUCUUCCACCUCCCACUCCAUUUCAUGUUUGGUCGGGACAGAUUCAUGACGGGUUAAUUUAAGGCUAAAUUACAGAAAAUCUCCUUAUAAAUACUUAUUUUUUAUUUUUUUUAACUUUCAAAAUUCUAUAUUUUAUCUUUUUAAUAUUUCAAGUUGUUACAUUUGGCCCUCCUAUAUUAGGGUUCUAUUACUAUUCCGUUCAUUUUUUAUAAUUUAUACCAAAAAUACCCUUCGAAAUUACAGCAAUAUAUUAAAAAAUUAUUUUUUCUUAUAAAAAAAUAAGGGUAAUUUAGUCAUUUUGCCUUCUUCAUU